rnacentral:rRNA from 1 species
GAUGAACGCUGGCGGCGUGCCUAAUACAUGCAAGUCGAGCGAACAGACGAGGAGCUUGCUCCUUUGAUGUUAGCGGCGGACGGGUGAGUAACACGUAGGUAACCUACCUAUAAGACUGGGAUAACUUCGGGAAACCGGAGCUAAUACCGGAUAAUAUUUCGAACCGCAUGGUUCGAUAGUGAAAGAUGGCUUUGCUAUCACUUAUAGAUGGACCUGCGCCGUAUUAGCUAGUUGGUAAGGUAACGGCUUACCAAGGCAACGAUACGUAGCCGACCUGAGAGGGUGAUCGGCCACACUGGAACUGAGACCCGGUCCAGACUCCUACGGGAGGCCGCAGUAGGGAAUCUUCCGCAAUGGGCGAAAGCCUGACGGAGCAACGCCGCGUGAGUGAUGAAGGUCUUCGGAUCGUAAAACUCUGUUAUUAGGGAAGAACAAACGUGUAAGUAACUGUGCACGUCUUGACGGUACCUAAUCAGAAAGCCCCGGCUACCUACG